AUUCAUCUUCGGGGUCGGUGCAAUUCCGAACCGGCGGUUACAGUCCGCGACCUGAUUACUCAGCUGAACUGGUGAAAUUCCAGUACCGACAGUACAGUCUGGAUGGGAGAAGAUGGAG
rnacentral:ncRNA from 2 species